rnacentral:rRNA from 1 species
AGGUUAGUUUUACCCUACUGAUGGAGUGUUAUCGUAAUGGUAAUUGAGGGUAGUACGAGAGGAACUGCUCAUUCAGAUAAUUGGUAUUUGCGCCUGUCCGAUCGGGCAAUGGCGCGAAGCUAUCAUCUGCUAGAUUAUGGCUGAACGCCUCUAAGUCAGAAUCUGUGCCAGAAACGAUGAUGUUGGUCCCGCACAUGUUAGUUGUGUUUAAAUAGAGCUUCGGCUUGUGAACCAUAAAUGUUGGCUUAGUAGCUUAGACGGAAAGGUCUUUGUUGCUCGCUGAUGAAUUGAAAUUUAGAUAUGGGCGGGGGUGAAUCCUUUGCAGACGACUUAAUGGGAACGGAGUGCUGUAAGCAGUAGAGUAGCCUUGUUGCUACGAUCUGCUGAGGCUAAGCUCUUGUUCUAUAGAUUU